rfam:Gossypium raimondii chromosome 4, whole genome shotgun sequence.
CUCAAGGAAGCGCUUGGUCCACGUGGAUAGAAAACGCUUCCUUGAGGGCGUGCUUUGUGUCCACGUGGACAAAGCUCUUCCUUGAGG